rnacentral:misc_RNA from 1 species
GUAGGUGAACCUGCGGAAGGAUCAUUAACACGUUAUCCACGUAUCAACCAAACCGUGAACUUGAAUCGUAUGCCAGUUUACGCUGUCGAGAGGGAGUGAAGAAGGGAUUCUUCUCUCUGCUUUCCCCAGUGUUUAACUGCAUCGUUGUUUCAAUUACCAAAAUCACCCCUGAUGUCUCUCUUUCUUCCUCACGGGAGAAGGAGAAGCAUUGGUUUUCUCUAUAUUUCUUAUUGAAGCGCAGGGCCUUUUCGGCUUUGUCUUCUAACACAAACUCUGUACAACUCUUAGCAACGGAUAUCUUGGUUUCC